ACAGUUCAUAUUAGAAUCAGUUCAUUCUUCUUACCGCCAACCAAAUUCUCUCUACCCUUCUGUUCGUUUACACUUACACGAAUCGAGGUUUGACUUUUAUACAAGUUUCCAUUUACACAAUAUAGACUUUUAAAAUUAUAAACUUAAAUGUAAUAAAGCAUAGUUUCAAACAGUGAUUAAAGAGGUAACUACAAAUCGUGAUGCAGUCACAACAUUAACAAGUUUGAGUCCCUAUUCUUCACACUUACAACUUGCAAACAAGUUUUUUUUGGGUAAAAAUGUUAAGAUAUUAUUACCAAGUUUUUUCGUUUUUGACAGAAUGACAGAAGAUAACACGAAGUAGAAAAACAGAAAAAAAAAACCUAAACACACACUCAAUCAAGAUACGAAAGCAAGACAGAUACAACAACCACAACCGCAGUCCCGGGACUCGACUAAAUCCGUAACAACAACUUUCCGCAAAAAGAUGAACCAAGUUCAACCGAGAGUCGGAACCCGCUAAUUUUGGCCUCCCCGAUGAAUCCGCUCUUAAAGAUAAUGACCCACCUAAGAACAGCUCACCGAGAACAUCAAGCACCUGCCCACACAAACACACAGCAAUAGCAGCGACCCAACACACCUUCAACAACCAACCGAGCAAUUAUUUGGCCCGGAGCGACCUGAACAGGAUGUCGAACCGAGCAAAAACGGGCUGUAACCUUCCUACUCCUUAAUCUGAGCCCAUCCUGCACACAAUUGCCACGCACACCGCCACAAUAGGCUCAAGCAAACCCAAGUAGCGCUGGGAUGUGAGCGAAGACCGAACGCUAAGAGUAGCGAUCAAAGACACGAGAACCACCACACGCCUGUCGCCGUCGAGAACCGACAGACAGAAACUGGUGCUGCUAGACUAUCACUUGCCACCGCAAGGACGCAAUGAAGAACAAGGGCGAAGUCCCAGACCGAAACCCCCUUACUACGACAACCAACGAGAGCCGUCGAC
rnacentral:lncRNA from 1 species